ensembl:lincRNA Gm45096 predicted gene 45096
GGAAGUAGAGAGGAAGGCAGGAAGGGGGCAUAGAAAAGAUACCUUCCAAGGCAUAUUCCUGCCAGUGGCAUCUUUCUCUUUGCUAAGAUCGCCUUUCUUCUUUCAGUAUAGGUGUGUACUGAGGUUCAGAAGGACCUAGAGUUGGAAAGGGCUAGGGUGUUUCCUUUGGUGGAGCUGGUAUCGAGUUUACAGGUUGUAGCUCUGGUCCUCCUUUGAGAGUACACUUUGGUCUUCAGGAACAGACAUCACUCUUGGCUCAGCACAGCCUUGCUGGCCCUCUCCCCUACUUCCCAGUGUAUUUUCAUCUCUCAGGGAUUCCUCGAAGUCUUAUGUGGAGAGCUGCUCUCCUGGCCUUGGCGAUGAAGAAACAUUUCCCUUCUGAAAGCCAGAGAGUUUUGAAUGAUAAGCAUUGCUAAAGAGGAAGCAA